rnacentral:rRNA from 1 species
CCUACGGGCGGCUGCAGUAGGGAAUAUUGCACAAUGGGCGCAAGCCUGAUGCAGCCAUGCCGCGUGUGUGAAGAAGGCCUUCGGGUUGUAAAGCACUUUCAGCGGGGAGGAAGGCGGUGAGGUUAAUAACCUCAUCGAUUGACGUUACCCGCAGAAGAAGCACCGGCUAACUCCGUGCCAGCGGCCGCGGUAAUACGGAGGGUGCAAGCGUUAAUCGGAAUUACUGGGCGUAAAGCGCACGCAGGCGGUCUGUCAAGUCGGAUGUGAAAUCCCCGGGCUCAACCUGGGAACUGCAUUCGAAACUGGCAGGCUAGAGUCUUGUAGAGGGGGGUAGAAUUCCAGGUGUAGCGGUGAAAUGCGUAGAGAUCUGGAGGAAUACCGGUGGCGAAGGCGGCCCCCUGGACAAAGACUGACGCUCAGGUGCGAAAGCGUGGGGAGCAAACAGGAUUAGAUACCCUAGUAGUC